UUCAAUUCUGCAGAAAUCAAAAAUAGAAUAAUGCUAUCUCAAUUAUUAUGGGUUGAAGUUUAUUUAAAAAAGUAAACUAUUUUCUUUGAAAUCAAAGAAGGAACUGUUCCAAUGACAUGUAAUGUCAAUACUCACAGUGUGAUGGGCAGGUUUUUAGCAUCCUCCUUAGUGCCUGUCAGAGACAUGCUAAAACUUGGGUCUAUCUUCUUGCCUUGAAUUUCAUUUAUGAAGUGGAUCUUGAACUGAUAGUGAUAGACUGUAGAAAGGAGGAAUUUACAAAGUGAUGAAAUGAAUGGUCAAAGAAACACUCGAUUUCUCAGACAUAAGACUGUCUUUCAAAACAGGAAUUUGAUUGAUACAUAUAUUUUAUUUUAAAACAAAUCUGUUGCAAUUAAAGCCUAUAUAUGUAUUUAUCACUGAUGUGUUGUAUUAGAGCUUGGGGGCCCUACUGCUCUUAAAAACAUUGAAGAGGGUAAAACGGUCUCCCAUGGGGAAUGUUUUUGCUCUUCUGAAAUUUAAUCGUUGGAAUGUCUGGCAAGCUCUGUCCAACCAGCAGAGGAAUCCUUCUGACUGGACAUGUUUAGAGGUGUGCAUUAAAGACUGAAGAUCUUAUAAGAUGUUGUCAGACUUUUUCUCUGGUUAGAAAAUCUCCUUGCAGAACAAAAGACUUUCCUUGGCUUAAUAAUAAAACAUUGUGCUUAGUAUGCAUCUGUUAACAAUAUGACUUUGUUCAAUCACAUUACUGUAAGAAAGAUGUCAUUAGCGCUUUGAGGUUUGGUGGUUUCUCCAAGAAUUGUGUUUAGGAAAGUCUUUGAACUGAAGAUAAUGGUAUGCUUCUGAGAAGGAAGAAUGACUAAGGAAUCAUCAGUGUACUGAUUACAAGCUGUUUGGCAUUUAGAGAACUACAAGACACAAAGAAAAUACCCAUACAGUUAGAGGCCUUGUGUACACAGGUAUUAACAUCUAGUUUUGAAUGUCCAACACUUUUCUGUGUAGCACGUCUACCAAAAGAAAAGAUCUGGCUGUAGCCACUUAAAUGUACCAUGGAAAAGUUACUGUUGGGUGAUAAUGUCACUUAGGUAUUUUCAGCUUGACAAUACCCACGUGUGGUGGCUCUUCAUCAACUUUUGACAUCAGCAUCAGAUCUAUUAUUUCCUGCUGAAAAAUUUCUUAACAACCAUCACUGCAUUUUACACACCACUUAUCAGGGCAUACUAUUUGUAGCUCUAAUUCAUCACUGUUUUAUACUGACAAACACAAAAAUAAAACCAGACAUGCAGUGACAAUGGAGAUUUCUAAAGCAAGGUGGUGUUAGUCAGCUCUAAAACACUUCUGCAGUGUGGAAUGUGGUUUUCCCAUCUGCAAACUGCCUCCUUGCCCACAACUGUUAGGUUUAGAUAUUAGGGAGGAAAUACUAGGUCAUUUUAAUUGACAAAUAUCAGAAAGUAUUUGGGAGAAUUAGUAGGUGGUGAUAUUUAUCCUUGCAAUGUGUUAAAACUGCACAUGGGAAACUGUUCUGUUAAACAUUAUUGCACCGUGUGUGUGUGUGUAUGUAUAUAUAUAUAUACAUAUAUAUGUGCAUAUAUAUGUAUAUAUAUGUAUAUAAACAUCAUAAAUGCUUUUGAGCAGAAAGAUGCUCAAAAUGACCUGCUCCAGGCUUCACACAAUGCUACCACUGCCCCGUCGUCUUUUCCUGUAUAUGCACAGAUAGACCUUUGUGCAGCUCUUAGCUUCCACAGUGGAAGCUAUUUGCUAGAAAAGCUAUGUAUUUUUUGUUGUUGUUUCAUAACUUACUGUAUGUUAAAGAACAAUUUUUUUUCUUUUUAAAAGUUACCACUUAACAGAAAGCAAAAUGACUGGUUCUUUGCUGCCAGCCAGAAACGCAGACCUGACAAGGACAAAGAGUAUAGAAAGGCUUGUUUACAAAUCACUUCUUGCUAUUCUGUCUUGAUCUGGGUUUGCUCUUAGAUAAGUUGAGUGCUCUUACAAAGCCCGGUCUUGUGCUGUGCUUGUGAUACUCAAAGGAGAAAGGUGAGCAUGUUUAUAUAGAAACUUUGGUUGGCUCAGGGUCUCAUCAUGACUUUAUAAUCAUUAACUUCUUUGUAGCAAUUGUUUUUUCAUGUGUACACUCCAGAAUAUAACUUGAAAAAUGUCUGAUUUCAUGCAGAAAUACAGAGCAUUGUGAAACUUAAUGCUGAGUUCCUCAGAUUUCCUCUGUUUGGGUUUCUCUCGUGAUCUUCAAACUUUUUUUUUUUUUUAAGAACAUUACAAAGAUCACUUCACACACAGCCUUCCACUGGUGCCACCUUGUUUUGGAGCUUUUAUGAAAAGAAAUUACUGUGUGAGCAUUAGUUUUUGUCUGUUCCAUGCCCACCGCCCUCUGGUGAACCUUUCCUUACUUCCCAGCCUGACUCCCCCAGCAGAGCUCCAUGCCGUUCCCUUGGGCCCUGUCACUGUCACCAGAGAGCAGAGCUCAGCGCUCAGUUCACCAGAGUGACAGGAGAAAAGCCGGUGCAACGGCGUUCCCCUAGGUUUCGCUCCAGACCUGAAGAAUCCUAAGUUGCUACCAUGAGGAACACGUCCAAAAGUAUUUUAAAAGUACGUGGAUUGUAUUUUUAUGGGUUUUAUUCUCUGGUGUUGCAAUUGAGUAGCAGGCACUGCGUGUGGAGUUGAAGUGUGUGAUCCAAGCAGGUGCUGAGGGGGAUUCCUGUGUCCUGGGCCUGCGCUGGGGAAGGCGGGAAACUGACUGUGCUUUCCUCUGUGGAGAUGCACAGUGUGGAUUGCCUCGCUGGACUUGGUACUUUGGAAAUGGGCUUCUAUAUGUAUAAAAGCAGCUUGGAACGUUGACAGUGAAGUCCCAGAGAGAGCAUCACCCUCUGCAGCUGAAUGAUGGUGACUUGGGGAAAGGUGAAUUAAGAGAAAGUGCAUUGAAUGCAGAAUCCUUUGGCAUGGGAAAAACCUCAGGAAGCACAAUACUGCAACCUCUGCAGCCACUCUGACCUACUGGAAUUGAACUCUGAUCUUCUGCAUAAUAAAGAUGAGUACUUCUUAGUGAUGCAAAUUUAGGAAAGGAAGAAUGUCUGCUACUAGGAGCCUCUCUCUCCAGAAAACACAUUUCAACUAUAACGGUGUUACACAACUCUGAAUUUCGAGCCUAAACAAGAUUUCUCAGACUCUACAACAAAUCUCUGAAUGGAAGAAGGAAUUAUUUCUGUGUAAAAAUGGAUAAAAUGUUGUUCCUGUUGCCCCGAUCAAGAGGAAAGGCGGAAAGAGAAGCCACAAAAAUUCCCCCAAGAGAUUGAAAUGUUUGACUACUCAAGCACUGCUGCCAUUGGAUUGCUUGACGUCUGAAUCCAGUCCUGGUACCAGCAAGAUGGAACAGAGGAAAUGUACCGCUGAUCCAGUGGUGUCUCAAAAGAGGAUUCCAGGGUGAUCGUGGGACCUACAAAAAUGGCAAAGGAGGAGAAUCCCGGCUGGUCACCCACUAUUGGGAAGCUUUAUGGCAAGAGUGUGCCACGUCCUGCUGGCUGCAGCCCGGGAGCCACGGUGUG